UUAUGCUUUAAUAAUGCUCUCAUGGUACUUUGAUGUCAUAACACCGAUCGGUCCGCACAGCGCAAGCGAAGCCAAAACCUGGAUAUUUCAGGCAAUAUAGAAAUCCUGGCCGGACAGGAUGUGUCU